UUAGAGUUUGAUCAUGGCUCAGAACGUACGCUGGCGGCACGCCUAACACAUGCAAGUCGAACGAAGUAGCAAUACUUAGUGGCAGACGGGUGAGUAACAUGUAGGUAUCUACCCUUUGGCCUGGAAUAACACGAGGAAACUUGUGCUAAUACCGGAUAAGUCUUUACGGAGAAAGCUUUAUGCACCAUUGGAUGAGCCUGCACUUGAUUAGUUUGUUGGUGGGGUAAUGGCCUACCAAGACUUUGAUCAAUAGCUGAUUUGAGAGGAUGAUCAGCCACAUUGGGACUGAGACACGGCCCAAACUCCUACGGGAGGCAGCAGUGGGGAAUCUUGCACAAUGGAGGAAACUCUGAUGCAGCGAUGCCGCGUGAGUGAAGAAGGCCCUUGGGUUGUAAAGCUCUUUCGUCGGGGAAGAAAAUGACUGUACCCGAAUAAGAAGGUCCGGCUAACUUCGUGCCAGCAGCCGCGGUAAUACGAAGGGACCUAGCGUAGUUCGGAAUUACUGGGCUUAAAGAGUUCGUAGGUGGUUGAAAAAGUUGGUGGUGAAAUCCCAGAGCUUAACUCUGGAACUGCCAUCAAAACUUUUCAGCUAGAGUUUGAUAGAGGAAAGCAGAAUUUCUAGUGUAGAGGUGAAAUUCGUAGAUAUUAGAAAGAAUACCAAUUGCGAAGGCAGCUUUCUGGAUCAUUACUGACACUGAGGAACGAAAGCAUGGGUAGCGAAGAGGAUUAGAUACCCUCGUAGUCCAUGCCGUAAACGAUGUGUGUUAGACGUUGGAAAUUUAUUUUCAGUGUCGCAGCGAAAGCGAUAAACACACCGCCUGGGGAGUACGACCGCAAGGUUAAAACUCAAAUGAAUUGACGGGGACCCGCACAAGUAGUGGAGCAUGUGGUUUAAUUCGAAGAUACGCGCAGAACCUUACCAACACUUGACAUGUUCGUCGCGACUUUAAGAGAUUAAAGUUUUCGGUUCGGCCGGGCGAAACACAGGUGCUGCAUGGCUGUCGUCAGCUCGUGUCGUGAGAUGUAGGGUUAAGUCCCGCAACGAGCGCAACCCUCACUUUUAGUUGCCAUCAUUUAGUUGGGCACUCUGAAAGAACUGCCAGUGAUAAGCUGGAGGAAGGUGGGGAUGACGUCAAGUCCUCAUGGCCCUUACGUGUUGGGCUACACACGUGCUACAAUGGUAUUUACAACAGGAAGCAAGACGGCGACGUUAAGCAAAUCCUUAAAAAAUACCUCAGUUCGGAUUGCACUCUGCAACUCGAGUGCAUGAAGCUGGAAUUACUAGUAAUCGUGGAUCAGCGUGCCACGGUGAAUGCGUUCCGCGGGUCUUGUACACACCGCCCGU
rnacentral:rRNA from 1 species